UACGGAGGAUCCAAGCGUUAUCCGGAUUUAUUGGGUUUAAAGGGUGCGUAGGUGGUUUUUUAAGUCAGGGGUGAAAGACGGCAGCUUAACUGUCGCAGUGCCUUUGAUACUGAAGAACUUGAAUCCACUAGAGGUAGGCGGAAUGUGACAAGUAGCGGUGAAAAUGCAUAGAUAUGUCACAGAACACCAAUUGCGAAGGCAGCUUACUAUGGUGGUAUUGACACUGAGGCACGAAAGCGUGGGGAUCAAACAGG
rnacentral:rRNA from 1 species